rnacentral:lncRNA from 1 species
GUGUGUGACCCCAUAGGUUCUAUUCUGACUGGUAGUGAGAUAUAUUGUGAUCUCUAUCUCAAUAUCAUUGAAAACUCCUUUCAAUGGGUUGGAACGAUUCCAACUCAACUCAUUAGGGUUUAUCGAUCAUCAAGAUAAUCCCUAUGAGUCCCACCAUCCACCAGUGACACCUAGCAGCAUGUAGUGGCCACCCAGCAGAAUGGAAUGAUGAACCUCUAGGUACAGUUAACAUGUGAUACAGUCCUACUAUCGUAGAUCCCUACAGGACGGAGGUCAUGGACAACUCGUCAAACCCCAUCGUCUGUCAUAUGUCAAGAUUUGUUCGACUCGAGUUCGAUAGUGGAAAACUCUUUUUCACUUUAUAUUACUGCCCCGGCCAAGGUCUUAGAACUCAGUCUAACAAAUCACAUAGGAUCACUCCUUUUCUAUCAAGGUCGAUAGAUUCCUUAUAGGUGCAUACCCUACUCCUACAGUGAACCUACUGCAGCCAAUCUACACUGCAUGGACCCAU